AGUACCAGGCAGGCUGUGGAGUAAGGAAGGACCACAGCAGAGUAAAGCAAUGGAGACCGAGGUCUCAGAAACCCUCAGGGAAGUUGGCAUUUUAACUGGUCUUUGAAGACCAGAUGAGGAAACUGAGGCUGAGAGGGUAGAGAACUUUGCCUGAGGUCACUCAGCAGGGACCCACCCAUCACAGUAAAUGCCAGCACUGCUGAUGCCAAAACAAUGUUAUUUGUAGGCCCUCGGAAUUUGUGACCUGAAGGAAGAAGAGCAGGGCCGUGGGAAGUAUGUAACCAGUGUCAUGCCCCUGGUCCCAAGGAAGCAGUGGCUUGGCCUGAACACCCUGUCCUACCUGGUCCUACCUGGAUGCUGGCCUCAGUAAGCUCCUGGGCUCAUUGAAGAUGAACCUAGCAGUAGUAUUUACACCACUUGUUGUGUGCCCACUGUGGGCCCGGCGCCAUGCCGAGUGCUCUAUGGAUGUGAGAGAAACGGAGGCCCAGAAAGCAGAAAUGAUGUGUUAAGAUCACUCAUCAAGCUGAUGGUACAGAGUGCUGGGAGAGAAAAGCAUACGACAUAGACAGGGAGGUCAAGCUCCACCACGCAGAUGAGGUGCAGGCCACCAGUCUUCCUCUGCCACAUCUCUUUCUGAAAAGGCAGCCUGUGCUGAGAAACCAUGACUGAGUAAGCCAAGCUUUGUUGGCCGCACCUGCCAAGCCACAGGGUGCCUCAGGCUUGGAGCAUCCCGGAGCCAGUUACAACCCAAGACUUCAGCCUUCUGGAAGGUGUUGGGUCAGCCACCCUGAAGGACGAUCCUGCCCAAGUGACAUGCUUUGCUCUUCCUUCUCACCCAGGACUUCACAUUCACCCUUGCAAUCCAUGUGGGGACACUGUUGGAUAGGAGGCGUGGUCCCAGCGUGGUCUCCCUGUCUGGGCCUCUGCCUAUGCCAAAUGUUUGCCUUACGCUGCACACUCAAGAGGUUCCAUGUAUACAGAUGGGAAUUCCAGAGCUACAGAAAAGGCAGCAAGCACCAUGAUUUAAGCUAACCAGUGUGGAUUCACACCUUCCUCUCUCUCUAUCAGUGGCAGAACUACCAGCUAGAGUAAGAAGUGGUUGAUCCAGGACCUAAACAUUCUGGAAACUCUUGCCCACUUCUGGGAGAAAUGACCCAAUCCAUAGUACUAAGCACACCUUAACUUUCGUAGGACGCAGGCAAGUUGUCAUACCGUGUGCCUAAAUAUAGAAAAAUGAUCCACUGGACUAAUAAAGUGUUAAAUAAAA
rnacentral:lncRNA from 1 species